ACUGCAAACAACAAGUUCAUGGAACUUCUGUUAAAACUGGCUGUGGUUAGCUAUUAGAGACGAAAUCUCGUCACGUAUCGGCUGUCAUGAAGUAGGAAGAGAUGGGCUUCGCGACCAUCCUUGAAUCGAAUCGAAUCUAUUAUUGAUUCAAUCUAUUCGAGGAACUCGGUCUUUGUGAGGUUUGCAAUUUAUUCAAAAUGAGAAUUUUUGACGAUUUUCUUUUCGCAGAAUUUUUCCUUGAAUUGUUUCAAUUGGAUGAAGAUUGAUUCAUUAAAAAAUUGAGGUUAAGUUUCAAUUCGUGGGCCAUGAUCAAAGUUGCCAGAAAAAUUCUCUAUGCGGAAAGAGUAAGAGAAAGAAUAUAGUUAAUAGACUAGUGACUAACAAAAAAUUAAAUAAGAAUUCAUUUCUAACAUGUACACAUGUUUUCUUUUUGCAUUUAUUUUUAUUUCGAAUAAAAAGUGACAAAUACUGUUUUUACGAACAAAGGAUGUGUUAACUGUUAAUGAAAUUGUGUGGUCUUGAGUUUCGUAACGAAAUGGUUCGAACGUAAAGUGAAGAUCAUAAAUAUUUCAAGUAUAGUGGAAUUUGUUUGGAAUACAGAUGCGUUUAAAGUUCGCCAAGAAAUGGAUGUGUAUGCACACAAGGAUACCAUAUGCGGCAAGUUUCUUUUGCUCCUUUAUCGAGGUAAAAUAUAAUACUAUUUGCCAAAAAUAAAAAUUAUAUAUCGUAAAUUAUUAAAUAAAAUCAAUGAAAAUAAUUUUUAUUGAUUAUAAAAAUUCAUGUUUUAAAAUAAUUUUGUUCCUCACUGGAAGUUACGAAAAAUGGCAAAUAGAAUUUCGCCCUACGUUUCGUUCCAUCGUAUUGUCAAGUGAAUUGACUUGGUUCGACGAGCAUCCUCGAAGGUAUACUCGUUCCUGCAGGAGAGAUAAAUCCUUGGACGGCACACGGUAUUUCUACGACCAAUUUGAAAUGUUCGUGACCAGGCAGGAGGAGACGGUAAAGUCCCAUCCAACGGGGUCGAUGUACUUCCGGAACUUGGAAAAAAUGUUUGCGCGUCGCGGAGGUGAGAACCACUGGAUUCCAGCGGAUCGCGGUUAUUACGUUGUUACAAGGGUAGGCAAAAGCUUUGAGAUUCGUAGUUCUCUCACGGUUACGUACGAAACGAUUUUCUCGAAUUCUGUUCGAAAACAAAUGUAAUAACUGUAACAAAAUAAAAUCAACUUUGCUAAUGGAUAGUCAUUGUCAAUUAGAUGAUGAUUUUGGUCUGUCCAUCGACAAAUCAUUAUAUAUGUAAAGAAUUGUAAAAAUAUGGAAUAUUGUUUUUAGAAUUUAUUAGAGAAUUCUUUAUACAAUUUGAAUGUUACAAAUACAGCCAUCUUGGCAAUCAAAUUAGAGAAUAGAAAUUUUGAUCUUUUCUUCGACGAAUUAUUGUAUACAAAAAAUUAUUAUAUUAGUUACGUGAUGUAAUUAAUUUCGAGAUCAGUAAGGAGAAAAGUACCCUGUAUAUAGUUCGUAACGUUGCAAAUAUAAUCGUCUCCAUUAAGAAUA